rnacentral:rRNA from 1 species
AACGGCGAGUGAAGCGGCAAUAGCUCAAAUUUGAAAUCUGGCUCUUUCAGGGUCCGAGUUGUAAUUUGCAGAGGAUGCUUCGGCGUCGGCCCCGGUCUAAGUUCCUUGGAACAGGACGUCACAGAGGGUGAGAAUCCCGUAUGUGAUCGGUGGUCUUCGCCAUGUGAAGCUCCUUCGACGAGUCGAGUUGUUUGGGAAUGCAGCUCUAAAUGGGAGGUAAAUUUCUUCUAAAGCUAAAUAUUGGCCAGAGACCGAUAGCGCACAAGUAGAGUGAUCGAAAGAUGAAAAGCACUUUGGAAAGAGAGUUAAAAAGUACGUGAAAUUGUUGAAAGGGAAGCGCUUGCAACCAGACUUGCCCGCAGUUGCUCAACCGGUCUCUUGGCCGGUGCACUCUUCUGCGGUCAGGCCAGCAUCAGUUCGGGCGGUCGGAUAAAGGCCUUGGGAAUGUAGCUCUCUUCGGGGAGUGUUAUAGCCCUCGGUGCAAUGCGGCCAGCCUGGACUGAGGUCCGCGCUUCGGCUAGGAUGCUGGCGUAAUGGUUGUAAGCGGCCCGUCUUGAAACACGGACCAAGGAGUCUAACAUCUAUGCGAGUGUUUGGGUGUCAAACCCGUACGCGUAAUGAAAGUGAACGGAGGUGGGAACCUUAGGGUGCACCAUCGACCGAUCCUGAUGUCUUCGGAUGGAUUUGAGUAUGAGCAUAGCUGUUGGGACCCGAAAGAUGGUGAACUAUGCCUGAAUAGGGUGAAGCCAGAGGAAACUCUGGUGGAGGCUCGCAGCGGUUCUGACGUGCAAAUCGAUCGUCAAAUUUGGGUAUAGGGGCGAAAGACUAAUCGA